ACGGACCAGACACUUUUUUCUUCACAAAUAAAAAGAAGACAGAACAAUGAAAAGAACAAAACAUUCAAACCACCUGCAAGAAUUCACCGAAUCAGAAAAUAACUUUUGUCCUUUUCUCAUACACGAAUGUGCGUUUUGUUUCGAUGCAGUGACGACAAAGGAGGAAGAGGAGGUCAAGGCAUAUAUAAGAAGAGGUGGACUGGGCCCUGCUUUCAUUACAGCCUCGAAACUGAGACCGAGAUUUAGCAAGAUGCGCAGUAUCGCCGUGGUUAUGGUCCUUGUGGUGAUGGUUAUGGGGCUUCAGAACGCAGCGGCCGACUCGAACCUGAAGUACUUCGAACGUGAGGCGGUGUCCGAGUUGGCGGCGCAGAUCCUGCGCGUGGCUCAGGGACCCUCCGCCUUCGUCGCGGGCCCUCACAAGCGCAACUCGGAGCUGAUCAACUCCCUCCUGGGGAUCCCCAAGGUCAUGAAUGACGCCGGAAGGAGAUAAAUCAUGCCGAUCUACUGUUUAUGGGAAGCCAAGAAUCCGCGUGUGAGUGAUUUCUAAAGACGACUACGGACGUAAAAAAAUGUUUUACUUCGGACAGCUCUUCCUUAUUUGGGUAAAAUAAUUGCUGCAGCAUUUAUUCCUUGUAUUUGUUUUCUGAAAAAGAUAAUAAAUUGUAAUACUAGAAAGUAA